AUUGAACGCUGGCGGCAGGCUUAACACAUGCAAGUCGAGCGGGGUGAUGGUGCUUGCACUAUCACUUAGCGGCGGACGGGUGAGUAAUGCUUAGGAAUCUGCCUAUUAGUGGGGGACAACAUCUCGAAAGGGAUGCUAAUACCGCAUACGUCCUACGGGAGAAAGCAGGGGAUCACUUGUGACCUUGCGGUAAUAGAUGAGCCUAAGUCGGAUUAGCUAGUUGGUGGGGUAAAGGCCUACCAAGGGGACGAUCUGUGGCGGGUCUGAGAGGAUGAUCCGCCACACUGGGACUGAGACACGGCCCAGACUCCUACGGGAGGCAGCAGUGGGGAAUAUUGGACAAUGGGGGGAACCCUGAUCCAGCCAUGCCGCGUGUGUGAAGAAGGCCUUAUGGUUGUAAAGCACUUUAAGCGAGGAGGAGGCUCUUUUGGUUAAUACCCAAGAUGAGUGGACGUUACUCGCAGAAUAAGCACCGGCUAACUCUGUGCCAGCCGCCGCCGUAA
rnacentral:rRNA from 1 species